rnacentral:rRNA from 1 species
UACGUAGGUGGCAAGCGUUGUCCGGAUUUAUUGGGCGUAAAGAGCUCGUAGGCGGCUUGUUGCGUCGGCUGUGAAAACCCGUGGCUUAACUGCGGGCUUGCAGCUGAUACGGGCGGGCUGGAGUACGGUAGGGGCAGGAGGGAAUUUCCAGUGGAGCGGUGAAAUGCGUAGAGAUCGGAAAGAACACCAACGGCGAAAGCACUCUGCUGGGCCGACACUGACACUGAGAGACGAAAGCUAGGGGAGCGAAUGGG